rnacentral:rRNA from 1 species
GAUGAACGCUGGCGGCGUGCCUAAUACAUGCAAGUCGAGCGAACAGACGAGGAGCUUGCUCCUUUGACGUUAGCGGCGGACGGGUGAGUAACACGUAGGUAACCUACCUAUAAGACUGGGAUAACUUCGGGAAACCGGAGCUAAUACCGGAUAAUAUUUCGAACCGCAUGGUUCUAUAGUGAAAGAUGGCUUUGCUAUCACUUAUAGAUGGACCUGCGCCGUAUUAGCUAGUUGGUAAGGUAACGGCUUACCAAGGCAACGAUACGUAGCCGACCUGAGAGGGUGAUCGGCCACACUGGAACUGAGACACGGUCCAGACUCCUACGGGAGGCAGCAGUAGGGAAUCUUCCGCAAUGGGCGAAAGCCUGACGGAGCAACGCCGUGUGAGUGAUGAAGGUCUUCGGAUCGUAAAACUCUGUUAGUAGGGAAGAACAAAAGUGUAAGUAACUGUGCACGUCUUGACGGUACCUAAUCAGAAAGCCACGGCUAACUACGUG